rnacentral:rRNA from 1 species
CAGUCGCCGCGGUAAUACGAAGGGGGCUAGCGUUGUUCGGAAUUACUGGGCGUAAAGCGCGUGUAGGCGGGUCUCUAAGUCAGAGGUGAAAUGCCAAGGCCCAACCUUGGAACUGCCUUUGAUACUGGAGAUCUUGAGUCCGGGAGAGGUGAGUGGAACUGCGAGUGUAGAGGUGAAAUUCGUAGAUAUUCGCAAGAACACCAGUGGCGAAGGCGGCUCACUGGCCCGGAACUGACGCUGAGACGCGAAAGCGUGGGGAGCGAACAGGAUUAGAUACCCCCGUAGUCCCUGUCUCUUAUAC